UCAUCUCUCAAACUUGUCCACACUGAGCCUCCAGCAAUUUGUCAGGUUUGCCUACCCUGGCACUGGUCCCCCUGGUUUCUGCUCGUGGGUUUCUGUCCUGGGAGCUUCUGGUUCAGUGCGGGUCACCUGGAACCUAUCCUCAAAGAAGCAGAGAGCUGAAACCCCGCAGCACAUACAGGUGACGCCCCAGUCUGGAUGGGGCCUACAUGCCAUCCUACUGAGGCCUCUCUCAUCACCCAGGCCUUGGGCCCCUGGGCUCCUCAUCCAUCAUCUCAUUGAACAGCAGCAGUGGGAGGGCUCAUCACCUACAGGGGAGCAACCGAGAGCUCAACUGGUAUUUCCCAAGAGAAGUGAAGACAUCCAUCCACAACAGAAAGCAACACAUCGAUAUUCAUAGCAGCUGUCCUUGUAAGAGCCUGAAGCUGAGAAUGUCCAUCACUGGGUGAAUGGGUAGACAAACUGAGCUAUAUCAUACAGUGGACUACGACUUAGUGAUAAAACAAAUGGACUCCUGAUACCUGCUACAACAUAGAUGAAUCUCAAAAUAAUCUUUCUGAAUGAAAGAAGCCAGACCCCCUGGAAAGAGUGUAUGAAAUCCUAGAAAAUGCAAAUCCUAUAGUGACUUGUUUGGGAGAUUUUAGGAGGCUGGAGGGGAGGAUUACUAAGGGGCAGGAGGAAUCUUCUGGGGCUGAUGCCUGGAUGCCUUCAUUAUCAUAAAGGUGAUGAUGAUUUCAUGAACGUGUACAUAUGUCAAAACAUAUCAAAUUGUACAUUUUAGAUCAUUGCUAUUAAUAUAUGUUGAUUGAACCUCAAUAGAGCUGUGAAAAACCAACCACCAUACAAAUUAGAGCAGGGAACUGGGGAGGAGACAGGAGGUGACUGAUGGCCAUGGCCGUGGCUGGGAGGUUAAAUGUUAACACGUGAUGAUUCAGUCACUCUCUCACUCCCACACUCACUCAUCCUUUGCUAAAUUGUAAGUCUCCUAAAGGCAAUACUGAAGUCUGUCUUGUUCACCCCAUGGCCCCAAUGCCUAGCUUGCAGUAGACACUGGGUCAGAGAAAAGUGGAUUGUCUCCAGAGGAAUUUAGAAGAUACUUGGCCAGACCCGAGGGUGUCUGAGGAGCUUGGAGAACCAAAAAUAACUCCCCUGUUUCCAGCUCAAGUAUAUACUACUGGGGUUCAGGUUUGUAAAGGAGAGAAAUGGGGGGGGGUGCUUAAGACUUGGGGAUGCUGAGUUUGUAGUGCUAGGGACAAAGUAUGGGGACAGAUAUGCUGGAGUGAAGGGUUUAGGAAUUACCAGUAUCUCUCCCAGUGGCUCUUUUUUUUUAAAACAUAUUAUUCAUUUAUUUUUUAGAAAGAGGGAAAGGGAAGGAGAAGGAGAGGAAGAGGAACAUCAUUGGUGGCCCUUCAUGUGCCCCCAGUGGGGGACCUGGCCCACAACCCAGGCAUGUGCCCUGCCUGGGAAUCAAGCGGUGACCCUUUGGUUCACAGGUCCACACUCAAUCCAUUGAACUACACUAGCCAGAGCUCCCAGUGGCUCUUAAUGUUGCCUGCAUGUUGGAAUGAAAACUAAAAGUUAAAAAAAAAUACUGACACCUGGUUCUUACCCCGGGACCAACAGAAUCUCUGAGGAUGCUGCUAAGCACUGGAAUUUUUCCAAAGCUCCCAGGACAUUCUGACAUGCAGCCAGAGUUGAUAGCCCUCACCGUGGAUGGUAAGUGAAAUCAUGGAAGAAGAUGAGCUCCGCAGAGCACAGGGUGGGGCAUGGGAGAGGAGAGGGUUUGGGAGCAAGCUUUGAGGAACUCCAACUUUAGGAGAUGGAAAAGGAACCGAUGAAUGCAUAAAUAAGUGGAACAGCAAACCAAUACUUCUCUCUGUUCCUCUCUCUCUCUCCCUGAAAUGAAUAAAUAAAAAUUAAAGGAAAAAAAAGAGAUGGAAAAGGGAGAGUAGUGAGAAACCAGGAGUAGCUGGAGAAAGAGAACCUGAAGAGGUAGGUGAAAAAUCAAGAGAGUGGGUCACAGAAGAAAAGGAAAGUGGAUUCGCAGAGUAGAAAGUUGAAAUUAGUGUCAAAUGCUGUGGCUACCUGGAAUAAAGGGGAAAAUAUAAAGGAUCUAUUGGAUUUACUGACAAAAAGGCCAUCAGGAAUGUAGAGGGAGCUGUUUGGAUGGAAUAGGGGUGACAGAAAGCAGACUGGAGGUGACUAUGGGAAAAGUGGGAGGUAAG